GCGGACUAACUGUCCGCUGGGAUGUAGCCAUAUAGGCUGAACCGUAAA
rnacentral:ncRNA from 1 species